CAGACCUGCCAUUAGGAGCUUUCCAGACCAAAACUCAGCUGCUCCGAAGAGCAAUAAUUCAAUCAACAGACCGUGCUGUCUGCUUUCGGUUCCUUUCACACCUGUCUGCCAGCAGGAUUACUGGGUAAAAGAAGAUCUCGGCUGGGCCCAGACUGUGUCUCCCAGGAAAAGAGACCACCAGAAUCCUGGAGGAGCUGCUUCCAGAACUUCUAAGAAGAAGUGGGUCUGAGUGGCACAAAAGAUAGACCAUGGAAGAUGCUGUGCUGAGCAGCCCAGAGGCCGCUUCAGGACUAAAGAACUUACUCCCUCAGCUGCUGGAAGUGCUGCCAGCUGAGAACCCCCUUCAGAACUGCCUUGGUGGUAGAGAGUUGCCUCGCCCCAAAUGACACCCUCUUCCCAGGGCAACCUGCAUCCAGUGACUGGUGGAUGCGGAGGUGUAAAAGCCCUGUACCAUCACCACCACUCGAUCCGACUCUGAAGGUCCACCCCAGCUUCCGGGCUCCCCACGGUGUUGGCGGAGGCCUUUGUUGCCGCUGCACCAGCCCGCAGCUUUCCCCUUACUUCAGUGCUGCUUCCUCCUUCCCUUCCUUCCACAGAUGUCCAUCCCGAGAGCACUCUCUAAUCAAGCUUCCACACCGCACGCCGAUCCUGCCUCUGUCUGGCAUGCUGGCACAGGGCCAAGCACCCACACGUGUGUUUGGCCAAAUAAAUACAUCUUCUGAAGUCUG